rnacentral:rRNA from 1 species
AUUGAACGCUGGCGGCAGGCCUAACACAUGCAAGUCGAGCGCGAAAGUUCUUCGGAAUGAGUAAAGCGGCGGACGGGUGAGUAAUACAUGGGAAUCUGCCUGGUAGUGGGGGACAACGUUUCGAAAGGAACGCUAAUACCGCAUACGCCCUACGGGGAAGGGGGGAUCGCAAGACCUCUCGCUAUCAGAUGAGCUCAUGU